GAAUCCACCUGAGAGGAUAAAAAAAAAAAAAAAAAAAAAAAGGCGAAUGAGGUUGUCUGGGGUUCCUGAGCCUUGUAUCACCAGCCUAGAUGUCUGCCGAAUGCUUUCCCUCGGGACAGCCUGUCCUUAAAGAGACACUAGCUGGAGAAUGAGGAAGUAGCUCUGGACUGUGCAAGAAAGUGUGGAGUAACUUUGCAUCAACAGGAACUUUCUCAAAAGCGGAUUUUUUCAAAGAGACUUUAGGAGCCAGCAGAUUCCCCUGUAGCACGGCAGCCCCUCCCAGCUCACCCUCUCUCACCCUGAUGGAAAUGGGACACGCAAACCUCUCCUGAAAUUUGCUUCUGGGACUCUCACCUAGCUGUUUAGUCAUAGAGGCAUUUGAAUGAAUUCCCAAGGUGACGAUAAUGAACAGAACAGUGCUUUCACUCCUCUUCCAAUGACCCUGUUCUGGCCACACCACAGUGUCUCCUCCUGGGAGAAGCCACACAUGGGGUGCCCUGUGCGGCAGGGCUUUGUGUGCGUGCGUGUGUGUGUGUGUGUGUGUGUGUAGAAGACAAUGGAGCCCACUGUGACCUGCCUAUUAAGGGGGGGUAGUCUGUCCCCUGUCUUCCUCCCUGAGGUGUUAGGGGAAUCCAUGAACUAACGGAAAUAAAUGAAGGUGCUUCAGAAA